CCUAUACUGUAUGACUCCAACAUCAAUUCUCCUGCCAUUGUCAGAUUGAAUGCUUAUCAGGCCUUCUUACUUGGAGCAAUGAAGUUCCACUGCUAUGUUGUUAGCAUUUCGGACAUAAUCAAUCCUAGUGCAAGCUGCCUUCUCAAGAUAAUUGAGUGGUCUUUCAGGUAUAGAUCUCAUCACCGCCUGUAGCAAUUUAAUCUCAUUUGUUCCACUACAUGAAAUGAUCAACACAAUGCAAGAGACAACUUGAAAAAAAAAAAUGUCAGCAAUCUUGAAAUGUGCAAUUUAAUUUUUUUUCCUUAGAAGCUGCUUGGCAUGUUUAAUGUGGGACAACUGGAAAUAAUUGAAGUCACCAUAAAGAAUCAGGAUCCUCUCCACUUUGUGGAUGAACUGGAUAAGUCAGUCUUGCAGUCACAGCCAUCUGUGUUGCAUGAUGGUCAAUUGCAUGGGCCACACUUGGAGCAUGCAGCGCACUAUACCAUGUACCAUAUGGGAUCCACGCAAUCAUGCUGUUAGUACAUGGAUGGCUGUGAUUGCAAGACUGUAACUGUCCAGUUCGGUGCUGAAUUGAAGAUGAUCCAAACUCUACUAGAUGUUUUGAUCAUAAUAUGUAGCCAACAUUUGGACAGAGGCAUGCAUAAUGAUACCACACCUUUAACUUGCACAUACCUCAUGGGUUUUGUAAACCAGAGCCUGUGAGAUUCAU
rnacentral:lncRNA from 1 species